UGGAUAACCAGACAUUUCCUCAUCAUCCCAUCUAAAAAUCUGGGAGUGGACGGCAUUCAUGAAUGAGAGGAGAGACUCUGCAAUCAAUAAAAUGAAGCUGGCCUCUCAAUCUCAGCAAACAAACAAAGCCGUGAUCCCAGGUCAGCCCUCAGAUUUUCACAUUAUAAAGAAGCAGAGAAGACAGGCUGAUGAUUUGCAGUGUUUGGCUGUAGGGCUGCUUCUUAAUCCUGGCACCUGUGGGAACUUCACCAGACAAGGAGGUCAGGAGACGGACUGCCACUUAAAGUAAUGACUAUGAGACUCUCGAGGCUCUCCUCUUCACAAAGAAGAAUGAUUAUCUCCUCUUUCCAUGCAUACUGACAUGUCCAAGGUCAAAUCCAAAUGGACAGAGCCACAGUUACAAAUCCAGACUGAAGGAAAUGCCUAAUCCAACAGGCUGCCCCAGCAGAUUACCUUCAUGUGACACACUGCACUGGUGCCCCAUGUUCCUUGGCCAGGGAACCAAACUGAGAUGAAGCUGAGUCACAGUUCCUAACAUUGAUUAGUCCAGCAUUACUAUGUAAUGAUGCUUAUUAUUACCUUUUGCUUGAUAAGGGCAGGAUCCAAUUUCACUAGUGAGGCAUCUGUGGACUCUGGCUACAAGCAGACAAUUUGUAAGCUAAAGAAAUGAACAUCCCUUACACCUCAGAAGUGAAAUCAAACUGGGGUCAAACCCUGCCUCAUUCCAACAGUUGUCACUAGAUUUUAAGCCAUACAUUAAACCAGCAUUUCUGCAAGCUGGGAGACUGAUACAAACCCAGAAUCAAAGGCUAUGAAAUCCUUUGUAUUUGUACAGCCUCUGCCAAAAGUGCUUUAUUAGCAGGUCACAAAGUCUCAUAGGCUGGAAUUUGUGCGGUAAAUUGUAUUCAGGCUAAGCUCACAAAUCAUUAGCCAUGCAAUCUUGUUUAUCCUGCUAGGACUUGGAGUUUGUCCUGUUACAAAAUCAAAGCAACAAGGUUGAAUGGUUCCAAGUGAAAAGCCUAAGGAGUGAAUAAGAUUCUCUGAGAAGGGAUGAGGGGGCUGGAGGGACAGUCACUUAAUGUAAACAUGGCCAGGAGAUAGCAUGUGAAUGGUUCCGUUGAGGUAAAAUCCCACUGAACAGCCAGAGAAUCACAUCAGUGUUACUGAGGACCCUGUUGUUUGUUCUGCAGCAUGCUGGGGAGUUUGCUCUGGAUGCCAACAGCCUCUGAAACAGGCUAACAGCAGUUUUUAUUCUUCCACUAACGCAUGUGAUUAGGAUGUGUACAAAAGGUUCCUUGGGAAAUUAAGCGUGCUCCAAGUUGGGGAGCUCUGCCUGGUGGGGGGCAAGGCACAGAGAACUGGUUUAUGGGAAGAAGACGGGGAUGGUACCCAAGGCUUUGUCACUGCACAGAGGAGCCACAUGUCCUGCAUGGAUGGGCAUGGGACAACCCUGGCUAGCUUCACAUGCGCCACGGGGCACAGCACAGUUCUCCAUGCAACAUUCUCCAUAGUGCAGGAACAUCUCCACCUGCAUUUAUGCUUUUUGCAAUAAAUACUGUCUGCCUAAUGAGAAUUCACUGUUCCAAAAAUAACUGUAAUUACCCAAGAAGCAGAGGAGCCUAUUUACAAGAUUUAAAGGGAAAGAAGAAAGAAAAUCUCUUAGAAGAAAACUUCCAGCACCUGGACCUCAAUAUACAAAAUGAACUGAAAAGGGGCGGCUCACUCCCUGGGAGAGGCUCAGCAUGUUUGAAGGUGCAUGUACUUCUUGGUACUUUGCCCAUGCCAACCAUGAGGAAUUGCAUAAGUCAGAUGGCAAUAAAAUAUUAUAUGAAAACCAA